GCCGUUAAAAGUGCCGUUUGCCUUUUUGGAGCACCUAAGCGCGUAAUAGCUGAUCAAGGCAGGUGUUACGUUAGCCAGGAUUUCAAGAACUUUUGUUCAGAACAUAACAUUAAGCUGCAUUUUAUAGCAACUGGCUCCAGCAAGGCAAACGGGCAAGUCGAGCGUGUGAUGCGCACUUUGAAAAGUUUGCUAACGAUUAUCGAAAACGAUCCCAAUAAAGCGUGGCGUGACGAGUUAGGUAAUGUGCAAUUAGCGCUUAAUAGUACUAGGUCUACAGUCACCAAAUUUACGCCAACUGAACUCAUGUUCGGUAUCCGUUCUCAAUCUCUAGGUAUGUCGAGAAUUAGGUGUUCAAGUCCAGAUUCAGAACAAGAACAGCGAAUUGACGUAGAGUCAGCUAGGCAAGAUGCGUCUCUUAACAUACAAAGGGCAGCCGCAUCCGAUACUUUACUAUUUAACCAGGGUCGAGCUACUAUCAAGCCAUUUUCUAAAGGCGAUUUCGUAUUCAUCAAAAGUUGUGAACGCAACCAAACCAAGUUAGAUAGGAAGUUUAGGGGUCCUUAUGUAAUAAUCGCAGUAUUAGAUAAUGACCGUUACGAGUUGAAAAGCAUAACCGGUUCACAUCGUACUUUCAAAUACGCGCACGAGAACUUGCGUCCAGUACCUCGGGGUCAUGACGGGUUAGUUGAAAUAUCUACUAGUUUGAUGACUGAAGAAGAGGCCAUGACGGCGCCAAACGAUGUUGAACUCGAUAAUAGUCACCUCGACAGACCGAAUGUUUGUGAUAUAUAUUGACUGCAGGCUCCGAUACACUGUCCGCAGGAUCAGACACGCUUACAGCGGAGUCUGAUACCCUAAGUAACAUUUCAGAUCGCGAAAUCUUUGAGCAUGAGGUCCGAAUUCACGCAGAGCAAGACAGUCCGUAACUUAUAGGACUGCAAUCUGAUGCGCCCGAGGACGGUCGAAAGUCAGUCCGGCCGUGACGGCGCAUUCCUAGCGCCAUGUUAAGAAAUACUGCAAAUAUUGGAACGAGAUUUGACAGUUGUCAAGUCUGGCGGAGCGUCGUAUCGAUGGUCAGCGCGGCCAUGUUGAAUCGUUGGGAGUUUUUCGAACGUCAACGGCGAGCGCACCACGUCUGCGACGAAUCGCUUUUGUUCUAAAUAAUCUGGUGUCUUUUUGUUACAAAACUAAUUGAAAGUGCUUGUUUAAGAGAUUUCCUAAUGAAUAGUAAAUAGAUUUUGAGUUUGGUGACCAACAUUAAAAUUAUUAAGACAUGGCUGAUUCUAAUAAUGAAGGGCAUCCGCCCAUAUAUAAAUUAAAUAACUUCUUGAUA